AGGGCUAUAGCUCAGUUGGUAGAGCACCUCGUUUCGAGUCCGUAUAGCCCUA
rnacentral:tRNA from 1 species